rnacentral:rRNA from 1 species
AGGUAGAGCACUGAAUGGGCUAGGGGCCUUAUCGGUUACCGAACCCUAUCAAACUCCGAAUGCCGGAUACUUGAUUACUGGGAGUCAGACUACGGGUGAUAAGAUUCGUGGUCAAAAGGGAAAGAGCCCAGACCAUCAGCUAAGGUCCCCAAGUAUAGACUAAGUGGUAAAGGAUGUGUGACUACAGAGACAACCAGGAUGUUGGCUUAGAAGCAGCCAUUCAUUCAAAGAGUGCGUAAUAGCUCACUGGUCGAGUGAUUGUGCGCCGAAAAUGUACCGGGGCUAAACUUGAUACCGAAAUCUUGGCAGGUAGUAAUAUCUGGGUAGGGGAGCAACGAAUACGGGCUGAAGCAGCUUUGUAAGGAGCUGUGGACUGUAUUGGAGAGAGAAUGCCGGCAUGAGUAGCGAGAGCAAAGUGAGAAUCUUUGCCGUCGAAAGCCUAAGGUUUCCUGAGGAAGGUUCGUCCACUCAGGGUUAGUCGGGACCUAAGCCGAGGACAAUAGUCGUAGGCGAUGGACAACAGGUUGAUAUUCCUGUACCGCUUUUUUCAUGUUUGAGACUCGCAGUGACACAGAAGGAUAGGCAAUGCGGGGGGAUAGAAAACCCCGUUCAAGCAGUGAGGCUGGUGUGUAGUGAAGUACGCACACCGAUAAGGCUGGGCUGUGAUGAGGAGCGAAAAAUAAGUAGCGAAGUUGCUGAAUUCACGCUGGCAAGAAAAGCUGCGUUUUUAGUGGAAGGAGCGCCCGUACCGCAAACCGACACAGGUAGGCGAGGAGAGAAUCCUAAGACGAACGGGAGAACCCUUGUUAAGGAACUCGGCAAAAUGACUCCGUAACUUCGGGAGAAGGAGUGCCCCGUUAGGGUGAAUAGCCCGAGGGGGCCGCAGAGAAUUGGCCCAAGCAACUGUUUAGCAAAAACACAGGUCUCUGCUAAGUGGAAACACGAAGUAUAGGGGCUGACACCUGCCUAAUGCCGGAAGGUUAAGGGGAUGCGUUAGCGCAAGCGAAGCGUUGAACCGAAGCCCCGGUCAAUGGCGGCCGUAACUAUAACGGUCCUAAGGUAGCGAAAUUCCUUGUCGGGUAAGUUCCGACCCGCACGAAAGGUGUAACGAUUUGGGCACUGUCUCAACAAGGGACUCGGCGAAAUUGUAGUACCUGUGAAGAUGCAGGCUACCCGCGACUAGACGGAAAGACCCCAUGGAGCUUUACUGUAGCUUGUUAUUGGGCUUUGCUGCCAGAUGUACAGGAUAGGUGGGAGGCUGAGAAGUAUGGACGCCAGUUCGUACGGAGCCGUUGGUGGGAUACCACUCUUUUGGUAGCGAGGUUCUAACUUACAGCCGUGAAUCCGGCGUGAGGACAGUGACAGGUGGGCAGUUUGACUGGGGCGGUCGCCUCCUAAAAGGUAACGGAGGCGCCCAAAGGUUCCCUCAGCACGGUCGGAAAUCGUGCAUUGAGUGUAAAGGCAGAAGGAAGCUUAACUGCGAGACCAACAAGUCGAGCAGAGACGAAAGUCGGGCUUAGUGAUCCGGUGGUUCUGAGUGGAAGGGCCAUCGCUCAACGGAUAAAAGCUACCCUGGGGAUAACAGGCUUAUCUCCCCCAAGAGUUCACAUCGACGGGGAGGUUUGGCACCUCGAUGUCGGCUCGUCGCAUCCUGGAGCUGGAGAAGGUUCCAAGGGUUGGGCUGUUCGCCCAUUAAAGCGG